rnacentral:tRNA from 1 species
GGGAAUUUGGCUUAGUGGUAGUGAUUGCUUAGCAUGCAUGAGGCCUUGGGUUCUAUCCCAGCAUUCUCC